UGCAGAUUGUAAUAAAUGAGUAGUGGUAUGAUGAACCUUGGCUCGCUGUCGCAAUUUUGGAUCUACUGCAGCUUCUACUUCUCUGCCAACCUCUAGAACUCCCUCUUUGAUAGUGCCCUUAUGAAUAAAUACAUUGCCUAGAGAUUUUUGAACGUCUUUUAUUUCCACAACAGCUACAGGUUUGCUUUCACCUCCGGUAACAUAUAGAAAACCAUGAUCCCCAAUUUGACCACCAGAUUCUGCAUAAAAUGGCGUCUUAUCCAGCAAAACUUCUACUUCACUUCCUUCAGCCACCUGUAUCACUGACUUCCCAUUUACCAAGAGACUUUCAAUGAUUGCUCUUGCAGAAAGCAUG
rnacentral:misc_RNA from 1 species